rnacentral:rRNA from 1 species
UUCGGAAGUAAAAGUCGUAACAAGGUCUCCGUUGGUGAACCAGCGGAGGGAUCAUUA